UACGAAGGGGGCUAGCGUUGUUCGGAAUUACUGGGCGUAAAGCGCACGUAGGCGGACAUUUAAGUCAGGGGUGAAAUCCCGGGGCUCAACCCCGGAACUGCCUUUGAUACUGGGUGUCUAGAGUAUGGAAGAGGUGAGUGGAAUUCCGAGUGUAGAGGUGAAAUUCGUAGAUAUUCGGAGGAACACCAGUGGCGAAGGCGGCUCACUGGUCCAUUACUGACGCUGAGGUGCGAAAGCGUGGGGAGCAAACAGG
rnacentral:rRNA from 1 species